UGUAGGAUUCUUUUCCUCAUAUUAUCAUUGCCCCAAACGCUGGUGUUGCCGCCUACAAGAGCUGGAUACCUACUCUUGAAAUAAUAAAGGAUCUCAAGGUUCCAGCAGUAUUCUCCGAUUACUGUGAAGAAGCUUGUCAUCUUGCAGCUUCAUGUAUCAGAUCUGUAACAGGCUAUGCUCCUAGAAUACCAAUUCAGAUAAACCCAUUCAGGCAGCCUCUUUGUGUUGAAGAAAGUGCUCUCUAUCUUCCAUGCUAUUCUAAUUGCUUCAUGUUUGGCUUCUGAACUACUAGUUGUUUGUGCAUGAAUUAAAGCGAUGCUGCUCUUAAGCUGGCCGGUGAUCCUGCUCUUAAACUGGGAUGUUGAUUAAUACUAGCUUACACGGCAUCAAAUCGAUGAUAUAUAGGAGUAGAAGUGUGCAAAUCAUAUAAAAUAUAAAAAAAGAUUAAAAAGAAUUGUGCUGGGUCAGGUACCCGCGGUGUCGGGUGGGAUAUCCGACUCACUGCGGGGCGGGUAUUGGGACUGCCGUUUCGCCCGAAAUUGGAUGUGGGCACCCACGAAUACUUGUUUCGACACUCGUAUAUAAAUAUUAAACGACAUGCCACUAAUUUUAUA